rnacentral:lncRNA from 1 species
GGGGCCGUUUGUACAAAGGGCAGGGACGUAAUGAACGCGAGCUUAUGACUCGCGCUUACUGGGAAUUCCUCAUUCAAGGGGAACAAUUGCAAGCCCAUAUCCCAAUCACGAAAGAAGUUACAUGCGUUACCCAGUCUUUUCAGACAGGGAUAAGGACACGCUGCUUCCUUCAGUGUAGCGCGCGUGCGGCCCCGGA